rnacentral:tRNA from 1 species
UAUAGCUCAGUUGGUUAGAGCACCACCUUGACAUGGUGGGGGUCGUUGGUUCGAGUCCAAUUA